rnacentral:lncRNA from 1 species
UGGCCUUGAGGGCUACUGAUUUGCUUUGGAUUGACACCCCAUUUAUAAAUGGCCAUUGAAGAGGACUAUCCAAAUAAUGAAAGUCUCGCAUGCCACAAAGACGAGGAACAUCUAAACUCUAACUAUCAUAUUAUAAAGUCUUAGGAAAGAUCCCAAAUUUAAAUACACACUAUUUUAAUUCUAAAUGUUUUCCACUUUUGACAUUUACUAACUUGGACGUCAAAAUAUUUAUAUAUGUCAUUUUCACUAUCGUUGCUAGACAAGAACACCAAAG